rnacentral:rRNA from 1 species
UACGUAGGCAGCGAGCGUUUGUUCGGAAUUACUGGGCGUAAAGCGUGCGCAGGCGGUUAUGUAAGACAGUUGUGAAAUCCCCGGGCUCAACCUGGGAACUGCAUCUGUGACUGCAUAGCUAGAGUACGGUAGAGGGGGAUGGAAUUCCGCGUGUAGCAGUGAAAUGCGUAGAUAUGCGGAGGAACACCGAUGGCGAAGGCAAUCCCCUGGACCUGUACUGACGCUCAUGCACGAAAGCGUGGGGAGCAAACAGG